UACGGAGGAUCCAAGCGUUAUCCGGAUUUAUUGGGUUUAAAGGGUGCGUAGGCGGUUUUUUAAGUCAGUGCUGAAAUACUCCAGCUUAACUGGAGGGGUGGCAUUGAUACUGGAAGACUUGAGUACAGAUGAGGUAGGCGGAAUUGACGGUGUAGCGGUGAAAUGCAUAGAUAUCGUCAAGAACACCGAUAGCGAAGGCAGCUUACUGGGCUGUAACUGACGCUGAUGCACGAAAGUGUGGGGAUCAAACAGG
rnacentral:rRNA from 1 species